rnacentral:rRNA from 1 species
GACCACUGACCUAAAUACUGUAAAGAUACCAGAUCCCGUCUGAUCUUGGAACCUAAGAAGGAUCAGCCCUGGUUAGACUAGGAUGGGAGAUCAACUGUGAAUACCAGGAGCUGUAGACU